rnacentral:rRNA from 1 species
UACAGAGGGUGCAAGCGUUGCUCGGAAUCAUUGGGCGUAAAGGGUAGGUAGGUGGUCUCAUUUGUCUGGGGUGAAAGCCCAGGGCUUAACCCUGGAAGUUGCCCCGGAAACGGUGAGACUGGAGUCUUGGAGAGGGUCGUGGAAUUCCCGGUGUAGCGGUGAAAUGCGUAGAGAUCGGGAGGAACACCAGAGGCGAAGGCGGCGACCUGGACAAGCACUGACACUCAACUACGAAAGCGUGGGGAGCAAACAGG